UACGAGGGGGGCAAGCGUUGUUCGGAAUUAUUGGGCGUAAAGAGCUCGUAGGCGGUCUGCCACGUCCGCUGUGAAAACCUAGGGCUUAACCCUGGGCUUGCAGUAGAUACGGGCAGACUAGAGGUAGGUAGGGGAGAAUGGAAUUCCCGGUGUAGCGGUGAAAUGCGCAGAUAUCGGGAGGAACACCGGUGGCGAAGGCGGUUCUCUGGGCCUUACCUGACGCUGAGGAGCGAAAGCGUGGGGAGCAAACAGGAUUAGAGUACCCG
rnacentral:rRNA from 1 species